rnacentral:rRNA from 1 species
UACGUAGGGUGCUAGCGUUGUUCGGAAUCAUUGGGCGUAAAGCGCGUGUAGGCGGUUUUUUAAGUCGAGUGUGAAAUCCCUGGGCUCAACCCAGGAAGUGCAUUCGAAACUAACUGACUAGAAGAUGGCAGAGGAAGGUGGAAUUCCAAGUGUAGAGGUGAAAUUCGUAGAUAUUUGGAGGAAUACCGGUGGCGAAGGCGGCCUUCUGGACCAUUCUUGACGCUGAGACGCGAAAGCGUGGGGAGCAAACAGG